rnacentral:lncRNA from 1 species
CAUGUCCAAGGUUAGCAGACAUGUAGUUCCUGAAAACCAACAUUUUAAAAGUUGCCUCUGGGCUGGGCAUGGUGGCUCACGCCUGUAAUCCCUGCACUUUGGGAGGCCGAGGUGGGCGGAUCACGAGGUCAAGAGAUGGAGACCAUCCUGGCCAACAUGCUGAAACCCCAUCUCUACUAAAAAUACAAAAAUUAGCUGGGUGUGGUGGCACACGCCUGUAGUCCCAGCUACUUGGGAGGCUGAGGCAGGAGAAUCACUUGAACCUGGGAGGCGGAGGUUGCAGUGAGCCAAGAUUGCACCGCUGCACUCCAGCCUGGCAACAGAGCAAGACUCCAUCUCAAAACAAACAUACAAACAAAAAAAGGUGCCUCUGGUCCUGUGUUUUCUUUUUCCUUCUGAAAGUUCAUAGAAACCUGGCAUAUAGAGCUUAUUUUGCUGUUUUAACUGGUUGGCUCCACAAAUCCUGCUACCUGACAUCAGUACAGCUUGACCGCAGUGAAGUACUUGAUGGCUUGUUCAUGUUUAGUUCACCUCUUUAGAAAGAAAGCUUUGUGGCCAGGUGCAGUGGCUCACACCUGUAAUCCCAACACUUUGGGCAGCUGAGGUGAGCAGAUCACCUGAGGUCAGGAGUUCAAGACCAGCCUGGCCAACAUGGCAAAACCCUGUCUCUUCUAAAAAUACAAAAAUUAGCCGGGUGUGGUGGCGGAGUCCCUGUUUCUUGGCCGAUUUUUGGUACCUUUCUUUGAAGAAGAGGGUUAGAUUUUAAGAAAGAAAGUGUGCUUAUUUCACUCAUGUCUUUGCAGAAUUUAACUUUGCUUUACUUUAAAAAUUCCAAUCAUCAUGUACCUAUAAAGGUUAAAAUAUAGUGAAAGUUUCUGCUUCAUGUGAAUUCAAUUCUGAGCACCUGCAGGUCAUAUCAGGUGUCUGAUGCAGUUACCUUUAUAGAUCGUGGCAGGUCCUUACAUUUCAACAGGCUUAUGCAUUUCCAUGGGGGGAAGAGAUUCUGUUUCUAGGAAAUUACAAAGGGCACACCACUGCAGGGAGUGUAAACAAUUCUUUGUUGCAACAGACAAGAUUUUUUUUAAAAAAAGAAAAAAGGAUGCAUUUUAGGUACACAGGGUAUGGACGCAUUCAACAUUUACUUUUAUCUCCACAGAUGCCAACCUCCCCUUGUUGCAGGCAGUUGGGCUUUUCCAACUCAUUGCUAACAAAGCUGGCAUCUGCAUUAAUUUCAAUGAGAAUUUCAAGUACUGAAGAUGAAAAGUUGGGGAGAUUCAUGUUUGAAAAAUGAAAAAUGAACAAAAAAUCCACCUUGUGCAGUGAGAUAGCUAACGCUGAUAUAUCAGGAAUAAUUUUAAACUAUUUUUGCUGUAAUGUGUAGCUUUAAUGUCUCUUUUCAGUUAUGGACCCAUAAAAGUAUUCCUAUAUCUUGUGAAUAAAGAUCAUUCUUGUGGACUAGUACGUGGAUGCAUUCAUAGGCUUUGGGAAGCAGUGGUGUGCGUAUGUGUGUCUAUAUCAAUAUUUUAUGUUUAUAACUCUGCGUAUUAAGUUUAUAUAGAAAAAAAUAAUGUCUUUCUUUAGUGUUUGGGGGACUCAAUGGUAAUAUGACCAUUGCAGUGUAAUCUGACUGCUCACUCUAGAGAACACUUCUGUUAUACACAAUGCACAUACAAACAUACACCCCUAAAGCGUAGCUAACUGCUCCCACUAGAUAAUUGCUGCUAAAAACAAAACAAAACAAAACAAUACAAAACAAAAAAAACCCUAAGUAAUGGAGGAAGAAAUAGCAUUCUUUUAAAAGGGGCUUUUCUGAAGAGUAAAAUGUAAAUACAGGACAUGUGGGGAGGGUGGGGCCGCCUGCAAAAUGUCCUGAAGAUGGACAAAUAGCCUUUUAAAUUCUACUUUUUAACCAUCUUUACCGUGUGUGCCUAUUUGUAUUGCAGAUGUGAACUACUAUUUUUGGAGGUUGAUAUCAGUAUGUUUUGAAACUGAAUUAUUACAUAAAAUCAGAGUAACCUCUUUCUCCAUCCUCCUUUUCCACACUAUUCUUGCCAAAUAUUUCUACUGAAACCCAGUUUCAGCAAGGCAAAAUGAUGGGACUCUCAAACCUCCCUCCUCAUCUUCCCUUCCCCUCUGUCUUAUGCCUGGCCUGGCCUUUUUUGUUGUUGUUGGCUUUUCAUAAGUAAGAAAAAUUUAUUGUAGUAUUUCAAGACUGCAGAAUUUCAAGUGUAUAUCUAUAAAUCUUUUUUUAAAAUCUUCGGCUACACAGUAACAUCAAUUAAAACAGAAGAGUGAGUCUAAGUCUGUAAUAUGCUGUAGGACCAGAUAAGAUUUUGAAUGAGACUAAACUUGACUGCCAUAUUUUAAGAGGAAAUUGAAACUUUAUGGUG